rnacentral:rRNA from 1 species
UUAAGCGACUAAGCGUACACGGUGGAUGCCCUGGCAGUCAGAGGCGAUGAAGGACGUGCUAAUCUGCGAUAAGCGUCGGUGAGGUGAUAUGAACCGUUAUAACCGGCGAUUUCCGAAUGGGGAAACCCAGUGUGUUUCGACACACUAUCAUUAACUGAAUCCAUAGGUUAAUGAGGCGAACCGGGGGAACUGAAACAUCUAAGUACCCCGAGGAAAAGAAAUCAACCGAGAUUCCCCCAGUAGCGGCGAGCGAACGGGGAGGAGCCCAGAGCCUGAAUCAGUGUGUGUGUUAGUGGAAGCGUCUGGAAAGGCGCGCGAUACAGGGUGACAGCCCCGUACACAAAAAUGCACAUAUUGUGAGCUCGAUGAGUAGGGCGGGACACGUGGUAUCCUGUCUGAAUAUGGGGGGACCAUCCUCCAAGGCUAAAUACUCCUGACUGACCGAUAGUGAACCAGUACCGUGAGGGAAAGGCGAAAAGAACCCCGGCGAGGGGAGUGAAAAAGAACCUGAAACCGUGUACGUACAAGCAGUGGGAGCCUCUUUAUGGGGUGACUGCGUACCUUUUGUAUAAUGGGUCAGCGACUUAUAUUCUGUAGCAAGGUUAACCGAAUAGGGGAGCCGAAGGGAAACCGAGUCUUAACUGGGCGUUAAGUUGCAGGGUAUAGACCCGAAACCCGGUGAUCUAGCCAUGGGCAGGUUGAAGGUUGGGUAACACUAACUGGAGGACCGAACCGACUAAUGUUGAAAAAUUAGCGGAUGACUUGUGGCUGGGGGUGAAAGGCCAAUCAAACCGGGAGAUAGCUGGUUCUCCCCGAAAGCUAUUUAGGUAGCGCCUCGUGAAUUCAUCUCCGGGGGUAGAGCACUGUUUCGGCAAGGGGGUCAUCCCGACUUACCAACCCGAUGCAAACUGCGAAUACCGGAGAAUGUUAUCACGGGAGACACACGGCGGGUGCUAACGUCCGUCGUGAAGAGGGAAACAACCCAGACCGCCAGCUAAGGUCCCAAAGUCAUGGUUAAGUGGGAAACGAUGUGGGAAGGCUCAGACAGCCAGGAUGUUGGCUUAGAAGCAGCCAUCAUUUAAAGAAAGCGUAAUAGCUCACUGGUCGAGUCGGCCUGCGCGGAAGAUGUAACGGGGCUAAACCAUGCACCGAAGCUGCGGCAGCGACACUAUGUGUUGUUGGGUAGGGGAGCGUUCUGUAAGCCUGUGAAGGUGGCCUGUGAGGGUUGCUGGAGGUAUCAGAAGUGCGAAUGCUGACAUAAGUAACGAUAAAGCGGGUGAAAAGCCCGCUCGCCGGAAGACCAAGGGUUCCUGUCCAACGUUAAUCGGGGCAGGGUGAGUCGACCCCUAAGGCGAGGCCGAAAGGCGUAGUCGAUGGGAAACAGGUUAAUAUUCCUGUACUUGGUGUUACUGCGAAGGGGGGACGGAGAAGGCUAUGUUGGCCGGGCGACGGUUGUCCCGGUUUAAGCGUGUAGGCUGGUUUUCCAGGCAAAUCCGGAAAACCAAGGCUGAGGCGUGAUGACGAGGCACUACGGUGCUGAAGCGACAAAUGCCCUGCUUCCAGGAAAAGCCUCUAAGCAUCAGGUAACAUCAAAUCGUACCCCAAACCGACACAGGUGGUCAGGUAGAGAAUACCAAGGCGCUUGAGAGAACUCGGGUGAAGGAACUAGGCAAAAUGGUGCCGUAACUUCGGGAGAAGGCACGCUGAUAUGUAGGUGAAGCGACUUGCUCGUGGAGCUGAAAUCAGUCGAAGAUACCAGCUGGCUGCAACUGUUUAUUAAAAACACAGCACUGUGCAAACACGAAAGUGGACGUAUACGGUGUGACGCCUGCCCGGUGCCGGAAGGUUAAUUGAUGGGGUUAGCGGUAACGCGAAGCUCUUGAUCGAAGCCCCGGUAAACGGCGGCCGUAACUAUAACGGUCCUAAGGUAGCGAAAUUCCUUGUCGGGUAAGUUCCGACCUGCACGAAUGGCGUAAUGAUGGCCAGGCUGUCUCCACCCGAGACUCAGUGAAAUUGAAUUCGCUGUGAAGAUGCAGUGUACCCGCGGCAAGACGGAAAGACCCCGUGAACCUUUACUAUAGCUUGACACUGAACAUUGAGCCUUGAUGUGUAGGAUAGGUGGGAGGCUUUGAAGUGUGGACGCCAGUCUGCAUGGAGCCGACCUUGAAAUACCACCCUUUAAUGUUUGAUGUUCUAACGUUGGCCCGUAAUCCGGGUUGCGGACAGUGUCUGGUGGGUAGUUUGACUGGGGCGGUCUCCUCCUAAAGAGUAACGGAGGAGCACGAAGGUUGGCUAAUCCUGGUCGGACAUCAGGAGGUUAGUGCAAUGGCAUAAGCCAGCUUGACUGCGAGCGUGACGGCGCGAGCAGGUGCGAAAGCAGGUCAUAGUGAUCCGGUGGUUCUGAAUGGAAGGGCCAUCGCUCAACGGAUAAAAGGUACUCCGGGGAUAACAGGCUGAUACCGCCCAAGAGUUCAUAUCGACGGCGGUGUUUGGCACCUCGAUGUCGGCUCAUCACAUCCUGGGGCUGAAGUAGGUCCCAAGGGUAUGGCUGUUCGCCAUUUAAAGUGGUACGCGAGCUGGGUUUAGAACGUCGUGAGACAGUUCGGUCCCUAUCUGCCGUGGGCGCUGGAGAACUGAGGGGGGCUGCUCCUAGUACGAGAGGACCGGAGUGGACGCAUCACUGGUGUUCGGGUUGUCAUGCCAAUGGCACUGCCCGGUAGCUAAAUGCGGAAGAGAUAAGUGCUGAAAGCAUCUAAGCACGAAACUUGCCCCGAGAUGAGUUCUCCCUGACUCUUUGAGUGUCCUGAAGGAACGUUGAAGACGACGACGUUGAUAGGCCGGGUGUGUAAGCGCAGCGAUGCGUUGAGCUAACCGGUACUAAUGAACCGUGAGGCUUAACCUU